UGCGGAAGGAUCAUUACUUAAAUCCAAACCUGCUCAACCAAGCCAAUCUGUUGCAAGGCGCAAGCCUCGCAGCUAAAACCUAACCAAAAGCAAGCUAACUAAGCUUCAACCUAAAACCAAAUCCUCAACGAUGGAUAUCUAGGUUCCUACUACGAUGAAGAACGCAGCGAAGUGCGAUAAGCAAUGCGAAUUGCAGAGCCGAGAGUCAUCAGAUUUUUGAACGUAACUGACACCGGAGAGCUCUCUCUUCGGUAUGCUUCUUUCAGUGUGUGAUUCUCUCAUCACCCAAACCUUAAUGCGAUAGAUGCCCUUCUAUUGCUAAGCUCGAAAGCACUCUGAACCCUGCAGCGGAGGUCUUAGGACUGACGCACUCAAUGCAGUAGUCACAUUCUCAAAUGUGAACUCAUUGAGCGUAGAGUCAGCGCAUGCUUGCAUGCCAGUGCUUAGACACCAAAAUUUUCUCAGCAUCUGAAAUGAAGUAGGACCACCCGCUGAACUUAA
rnacentral:rRNA from 1 species